CAUUUAUUAAAUGACAUCUCUCGGUCCCAGUAAUGUAUGGAGGUCGAGGGAAAGGGCUCUGGCCUUCCCAGUGUCACAUCUUCGGCACGGAAGGCUUCAUUCCAUAGGUUCUAACUCAAGUGCCCAGACACCG
rnacentral:snoRNA from 1 species